rnacentral:rRNA from 1 species
GGGCCCGCACAAGCGGUGGAACAUGUGGUUUAAUUCGACGCAACGCGCAAAACCUUACCUGGAUUUGACAUCCCGGGACCACCUCAGAGAUGAGGUUUUCUCUUCGGAGACCCGGUGACAGGUGCUGCAUGGCUGUCGUCAGCUCGUGUCGUGAGAUGUUGGGUUAAGUCCCGCAACGAGCGCAACCCAUGUCCCUAGUUGCCAGCAUUUAGUUGGGGCACUCUAGCGAGACUGCCGGUGAUAAGCCGGAGGAAGGCGGGGAUGACGUCAAGUCCUCAUGGCCCUUACGUCCUGGGCUACACACGUGCUACAAUGGCCGGUACAGAGAGCAGCCACUUCGCAAGAAGGAGCG